CCUACGGGAGACAGCAGUGAGGAAUAUUGGUCAAUGGGCGAGAGCCUGAACCAGCCAAGUCGCGUGAAGGAUGACGGCCCUAUGGUUUGUAAACUUCUUUUAUAUGGGAAUAAAGUGCGGCACGUGUUCCUUUUUGUAUGUACCAUAUGAAUAAGCAUCGGCUAACUCCGUGCCAGCAGCCGCGGUAAUACGGAGGAUGCGAGCGUUAUCCGGAUUUAUUGGGUUUAAAGGGUGCGUAGGUGGUUUAUUAAGUCAGCUGGGAAAGUUUGUGGCUCAACCCCGGAACUGCCAUUGUGACUAGGAAUCUAGAGUAAAGGUGAGGUAGGCGGAAUA
rnacentral:rRNA from 1 species